rnacentral:rRNA from 8 species
AUGAAGAACGCAGCGAAAUGCGAUAAGUAAUGUGAAUUGCAGAAUUCAGUGAAUCAUCGAAUCUUUGAACGCAUCUUGCGCUCCUUGGUAUUCCGAGGAGCAUGCCUGUUU